rnacentral:rRNA from 1 species
GGAGUUAGCCGGUGCUUCUUCUGUGAGUGAUGUCCUUCCUGCCGGCUAUUAACCCGCAGGCCUUCUUCCUCACUGAAAGUGCUUUACAACCCGAAGGCCUUCUUCACACACGCGGCAUGGCUGGAUCAGGGUUGCCCCAAUUGUCCAAUAUUCCCCACUGCUGCCUCCCGUAGGAGUCUGGGCCGUGUCUCAGUCCCAGUGUGGCUGAUCAUCCUCUCAGACCAGCUACGGAUCGUCGCCUUGGUGAGCCGUUACCUCACCAACCAGCUAAUCCGACAUAGGCUCAUCCGAUAGCGCGAGGCCCGAAGGUCCCCCGCUUUCCCCCGUAGGGCGUAUGCGGUAUUAGCCUGGGUUUCCCCCAGGUUAUCCCCCACUACCGGGCAGAUUCCUAUGCAUUACUCACCCGUCCGCCGCUCGCCACCAGGGAGCAAGCUCCCCGUGCUGCCGCUCGACUUGCAUGUGUUAGGCCUGCCGCCAGCGUUCAAUCUGAGCCAGGAUCAAACUCUGA